rnacentral:rRNA from 1 species
GACGAACGCUGGCGGCGUGGAUUAGGCAUGCAAGUCGAACGGUAUCAUCCUUUCGGGGGUGAGAGAGUGGCGAACUGGUGAGUAACACGUAGGUUAUCUACCCUCAAGACGGGGACAACCCAGGGAAACUUGGGCUAAUACCGGAUGUGAGCAACUUUUAGUUGUUUGAAAGGUGGCGUAAGCUGCCGUUUGGGGAUGAGCCUGCGCUCUAUUAGUUAGUUGGCGGGGUAAAGGCCCACCAAGGCGAUGAUAGAUAGGCGGCCUUAACGGGUGGUCGCCCACACUGGGAUUGAGAUACGGCCCAGACUCCUACGGGAGGCAGCAGUCGAGAAUAGUCUACAAUGGCCGAAAGGCUGAUAGUGCGACGCCGCGUGAACGAAGAAGCCCUUCGGGGUGUAAAGUUCUUUUAUAUGUGAGCAGUGCUUUCUAUGUGAACAGCAUGGGGAGAGAGAUAUUAGCAUAUGAAUAAGCAAGGCUAACUCCGUGCCAACAGCCGCGGUAAUACCGU